rnacentral:rRNA from 1 species
UACGUAGGGUGCGAGCGUUGUCCGGAAUUAUUGGGCGUAAAGAGCUCGUAGGCGGUCUGUCGCGUCGAUCGUGAAAACUUGGGGCUUAACCCUGAGCUUGCGGUCGAUACGGGCAUGACUGGAGUUCGGCAGGGGAGACUGGAAUUCCUGGUGUAGCGGUGAAAUGCGCAGAUAUCAGGAGGAACACCGGUGGCGAAGGCGGCUUGCUGGGCCAGUUCUGACGCUGAGGAGCGAAAGCGUGGGGAGCGAACAGG